UUCGCAAUGCCCGAAAGGGUGACGAUGCGACGCCGCGUGAGCGAAGAAGGCCCUAGGGUUGUAAAGCUCUGUCGAGGGUUAUGAAAUAUAGAUGGGUUAAUACCCCAUUUAUUUGACAAAAGCCCAAGAGGAAGUCACGGCUAACUCUGUGCCAGCAGCCGCGGUAAUACAGAGGUGGCAAGCGUUGUUCGGUAUUAUUGGGCGUAAAGAGCACGUAGGUGGUUUUAUAAGUCAGGUGUGAAAGCCUUCUGUUCAAAGGAAGAACGGCAUCUGAAACUGUAGAUCUUGAGUAUAGGAGGGGAGAGUGGAACUUCUGGUGGAGCGGUGAAAUGCGUAGGUAUCAGAAGGAACGUCGGCGGCGAAAGCGACUCUCUGGCCUAUUACUGACACUGAGGUGCGAAAGUUAGGGGAGCAAACGGGAUUAGAUACCCCGGUAGUCCUAACCGUAAACGAUGGGCACUAAGUAGAGGGGUUUU
rnacentral:rRNA from 1 species